CGCCGGCACGUGACCGCGACGUCACGCGCGCGCCUCCGGUCUGGGCCGCGGGCUGCUCGGGGUCGCGGUCGCGCGUGGCGGCCGCGGUCUCCUGGCGCGUCGCUGUCGCCGUCGCCGUCUCGGGCGGUGUGCGAGCCUCCCCGGGCUGCACCAUGUACCACAGCAGCAGCCAGAAGCGGCACUGGACCUUUGCGAGCGAGGAGCAGCUGGCGCGCCUGCGGGCCGACGCCAACCGCAAAUUCAAGUGCAAAGCGGUGGCUAACGGGAAGGUUCUUCCAAAUGAUCCAGUGUUUCUUGAGCCUUAUGAAGAAAUGACACUUUGCAAAUACUAUGAGAAAAGAUUAUUGGAAUUCUGUUCGGUGUUUAAGCCAGCAAUGCCACGCUCUGUUGUGGGUACAGCUUGUAUGUAUUUCAAGCGUUUUUAUCUUAAUAAUUCAGUAAUGGAAUAUCACCCCCGGAUAAUAAUGCUCACUUGUGCAUUUUUGGCCUGCAAAGUAGAUGAAUUCAAUGUGUCUAGUCCUCAGUUUGUUGGAAAUCUUCGAGAGAGUCCCCUUGGACAGGAGAAGGCACUGGAACAGAUUUUGGAAUAUGAACUACUACUUAUACAGCAGCUUAAUUUUCACCUUAUUGUCCACAAUCCUUACCGACCAUUUGAAGGCUUUCUCAUUGAUAUAAAGACUCGAUACCCCAUGUUGGAGAAUCCAGAGAUUUUGAGGAAAACAGCUGAUGAUUUUCUUAGUAGAAUUGCAUUGACAGAUGCUUAUCUUUUAUACACACCUUCACAAAUUGCCCUGACAGCUAUCUUAUCAAGUGCCUCUAGGGCUGGAAUAACUAUGGAAAGCUAUUUAUCAGAAAGUCUAAUGCUGAGAGAAAAUAGAACUUGCCUGUCACAGUUACUGGAUAUAAUGAAAAGCAUGAGAAACCUAGUAAAAAAGUAUGAACCACCCAGGUCUGAAGAAGUUGCUGUUCUGAAACAGAAAUUGGAGCGAUGCCAUUCUGCCGACCUUGCGCUUAAUGUGGUGACGAAGAAGAGGAAAGGCUAUGAAGAUGAUGACUAUGUAUCAAAGAAACCCAAACAAGAAGAGGAGGAAUGGACUGAUGAUGACCUGAUAGACUCUCUCUAACCUUUUGAAGUCACAACGGCAGUGCUAAUGAAGCAACAGAAGUAGGAAGCAUGUCUGACAUUUAAGUAGUACAAUAUCACUAAAAUCACUAAAGUUUGGCAUCAGAGCAAGACCUCACAUGUAUCUCUGAAAAUUUUCUACCCAGCCCAUUAAAAAAAAAAAAAAAGUUUCAAAGAUUUUAUUUCACCACUAAAUACCUACCUACUAUUGCAGGGCCAAUGAAGGUAAGUAACAAGUUUCCCACUCCAAUUUAAGACAUAAACAUGUCAGUAAAACACAAAAAUGAAGAUAAGUUUUUCAGAUUUCUUUUAAAAUAAAAAUGGUAAAAAAGAGAAGCAUGUCUAGCCAAGGAAUGGCAGAUAGGCCAUCAUGGCUGACACUCAAGUACAAUUAAUGAGGAUAAACUAAAAUGCCGUAGAGAUUGGACCUCAGCCUGCUUUUGAAAGUUCUUAUCUACAUUUACCACUCGGUAGCCCUUCCACCUUAUAAACCAAGGAAAUGAGAUGAGUUACUGUCAUAGUGCAGCCAGGAACAGGAAUAGGAACUGUAAAGGGUUCCAGGGAGAAAGGGAUUACAUUGAGAACAAAAUUUUGUUUUGUUUUUGUUAUCACAGUUAACCUGAUUGAAGCUAUGUUAAGGACAGGAAAUUACCUGUAUAGCUGCAUUCAGCCCUAUAUUUAAGCUAGGGAUAUCUCUCAAUGGUAACAUCAAACAUCUCUCUAAAGAAUACAUUGAGGCCUCUUCAGUUUGUGCAAAGGGGAAUAAACCCUUGAGUACUUAACAUCUUUCACUGUAUACAAAAUCUCUGAGGAGUGCAACCAACUGUUUUUAGAAUCUAGGCCUUCAGAAAAGCAUCUUAUUGAGGGAAUUUUUUUUUUUUAUUAAUACCUUCCUUGGUUCUUUUUAAACAAACAAAAAAAA